CCCUUAGAUGUCCUGGGCCGCACGCGCGUUACACUGAUGCAUUCAACGAGCUUAUAACCUUGGCCGAGAGGCCUGGGCAAUCUUGUUAACGUGCAUCGUGAUAGGGAUAGAUUAUUGAAAUUAUUAAUCUUGAACGAGGAAUUCCUAGUAAACGCAGAUCAUCAAUCUGCAUUGAUUACGUCCCUGCCCUUUGUACACACCGCCCGUCGCACCUACCGAUUGGAUGGUCCGGUGAAGCCUCGGGAGUGUGGUUCUUGCCGCUUUAUUGUGGCGUGACCGCGAGAACUUGUCUAAACCUUAUCAUCUAGAGGAAGGUGAAGUCGUAACA
rnacentral:rRNA from 1 species